rnacentral:tRNA from 1 species
UCCCUUGUGGCUCAGCUGGUAAAGAAUCCGCCUGCAAUGCGGGAGACCUGGGUUCAAUCCCUGGAUUGGGAA